rnacentral:rRNA from 1 species
UACGUAGGUGGCAAGCGUUAAUCGGAAUUACUGGGCGUAAAGCGUGCGCAGGCGGUUAUGCAAGACAGAGGUGAAAUCCCCGGGCUCAACCUGGGAACUGCCUUUGUGACUGCAUGGCUAGAGUACGGUAGAGGGGGAUGGAAUUCCGCGUGUAGCAGUGAAAUGCGUAGAUAUGCGGAGGAACACCGAUGGCGAAGGCAAUCCCCUGGACCUGUACUGACGCUCAUGCACGAAAGCGUGGGGAGCAAACAGG